rnacentral:tRNA from 1 species
GGCACUGCAUCUCAGUGCUAGAGAAGUCACUACAGACCCUGGUUUGAUUCCAGGCUGUGUCA